CCCGCGCCACCAUAGAGAGGAGUCUGGGCCCGCGGCGGUCUAGAGCGCUGCUUCCGCGAGCGCCCUCUGGCGGAAUCCCGGCGGGCUCGGGCUGCAGGGCCCGGACACGGAAGCCCGGCUAGGUGUGGGGUCCAGAGUUCGAGUCUUGGCUGAGUCAAUCCCCCCACCCCGUGCGUGGGGUGACCUUGAGCGACUCUCUUAACAUCCUCAAGUUGCUUUUAUGUUGAACCCUUGAUUUCAUGUUUCACUAUACCCGGCAGACGACAGUUUUCCAGUUCAUGGUGGAAGAAACCCAGACUCACCCAAUGCAUUAACUCCCUUGGAGAUGUUAAAAGGCCAGUCUGUGAAGCAUCCUAACCUUCGCGUUCCUACAAGGAUUAGCUGCUUUCACGUUAGGAAGGCGGGGACAGAGCCGAGAAAGGCUGCCGUACAAUGAAAAUGACUGCUAGGGGCCACCCAACCAUCAUUCAUCGGCUGUGCACCUUUUGUCUCAGAAAGCUCAACCUCCUGACUCAAGGCCACCAAGCACUAGCACCCAGUAGGUAUUUAACAUUUGGUCUAAUUUCAAAUAGAUACACGAUGACCUCCUUGUAUCAAGGUUAAAAAAAGACAAUAAACUGUGGGGACCUAAAGACUAUCUAGAUCAAAGAGGAAAGAAUCUUACAUUGCUCUCUUCAUUUUUUCUAGUACUGAGGAUCAAAUCUAGGGCCUGGCCCGUGCUAGGCAAGCACUCUACCACUGAUGUACACCCCUAGGCCACCGUCUAAAAUUCAUUAAAGCCCACUCCUUAACAAGCUCCCACAAUGUGGAAAGAACAAGAGAAGAACACACACGGGAGGCCUUGCAUUCUGCACUGGAAUUGCCACAUUUUUGCUUUGAGCCUUGGGUUCUUCCUCUUAACAAAAUGAUGAGCUGGGAGCUGGGAUGCAUCUCAGUGGAGGAGCCUUUGCAUAGAUUGUGUAAGGUCCUAGGUUGGAAUCCUUUCGAUGCAAUUAAAAAAAAAAAAAAGACAGCUCACACUGCACUGUUCUAGGAUCCUCAGUCAAGUAUGAAACAUUUGAAAUCACCAACUGCAGGAAACAGGACAGAUCCAUCCAGGGCAGAGUGAGGAACCAGGCUCCUCCUUGAACACCAGUCCCCCUAACUGGUAGUGGUUCCCAAGUUGCACUAAGAAACUGUCAAACACUCCACGAGAGAGAGCCCUUGACUAGUUGGUGCUGUCUGCUAUGAGAUCAGGAUGCCCAAAGAGCACCAGGAGUGGCAGGAAUGUGCUUUUCCUGGUUUAGUGUAUUGUUCUCACCAGGGUUGCAGGAAGCUGCCAACUUACCAGCCAUGGUGUAGAUACCAAAGACUGUUGUCUCCCUUGGUCUUCUAUGUGUGAGGGUUGAGGUUCCACGUUAUCACAGCUACCUUAUGCCACUUGUCACUCAUUCUCCAUCCUUCAGGCUUGCUUCUAUCCCGCUAUACCCAUUACCCAUGUCAUAUUUUCUUUUUUCUUUUUUGGGGGCAAGUUUCCUUUGUGUAAUAGCCCUGGCUGUCCUGGAACUCACUCUAUAGACCAGGCUGGCCUUGAACUCACAGAGAUCUGCCUGCCUCUGCCUCCCGAGUGCUGGGAUUAAAGGAAUGUGCUACCAUGCCUGGCAUAUUUUCUUUUAUCAUUACAUUUUUAUUAUUAUAUAUGAGGGGGCAUACAUAUGCCACACAGCAUGUAUGGAGGUCAGAGGACAGUUUGCAGGAGUCAAUUCUCUCUUUCUUUUAUGUGGGACCCGGGGACUGAACUCAGGUUGUCAGGCUUGGAGACAAGCAUCUUUAUCUACUUAGUCAUCUCAUUGGCCCUAAAUAUCAGAUCUUGUAACUCUGGUCCCCCUUUCCUGCAGCUAAGACAAAACUAAU